rnacentral:rRNA from 1 species
UACGUAGGGGGCAAGCGUUGUCCGGAAUCAUUGGGCGUAAAGCGCGUGUAGGCGGCCCGGUAAGUCCGCUGUGAAAGUCGGGGGCUCAACCCUCGAAUGCCGGUGGAUACUGUCGGGCUAGAGUGCGGAAGAGGCGAGUGGAAUUCCUGGUGUAGCGGUGAAAUGCGCAGAUAUCAGGAGGAACACCAGUUGCGAAGGCGGUUCGCUGGGCCGUGACUGACGCUGAGGCGCGAAAGCGUGGGGAGCAAACAGG